rnacentral:tRNA from 1 species
GGAAAUAUAGCUCAGUGGUAGAGCACAUGCAGAGUAUGUGCAAGGUCCUGGGUUCAACUCCCAGUACCUCCA